AAAGAAUAAACAGUUACAGCAUGUAUGCAUAAUAUAUUUAUUGGGCCCAACUAUUUUAGACUCUUGAACUUAUUAUUUGUAUUGGGAUUUAGCUUGCACUUCACUUUAGUAUGGGCUUCUUUCUGCUUUAUCUUAACAUUUCCCUUCAAAUGAGAGGUGAUGGGGCUGUGCACCAGACCGAGUUUGUCGCAAAGUGUGCAGAAACGCGUUUGAGUCAGAGCUUUUGUGAACAUAUCAAUGAUUUGGUCAGAUGAGGGAAUAUAUCAUACCAUCGGUUUUUGACUGAGGACUCUAUCAUGGAUGAAGUGCACAUCGAUCUUGAUGUGCUUGGAUCUGGCGUGAAGAACCAGAUUUGAAGCUAGAGCUGCAGCACUCACGUUAUCGCACCAGGCAAUUCGAACUCGAGAUAGAGGGAAGCUAACUUCUGAGAUGAGACAUUGAAGCCAAGUUAACUCAGCUGCGAGAUCGACCAGGGCACAGUACUCAGACUCAGUGCUCGAUAGAGAGACAACACGUUGCUUCUUACUUGACCAAGAAAUUAGAGAGUCACCAAGGAAGACAUAGUGACCACCGACAGACCUGCGAUCAUCUGGACAUACUACCCAGUCAGCGUCUAAAAGCCCUUGUAAGGUGAACUGGCAUAUAGCUAAGGCAAAUUUUGCUGUAAAGAAGAGACAGAAGUGGAAUGUGAGUUUGGUUCAGAUGCAGAAAUCUAACCACCUACAAUAGUGGUUGAGCUUGGACAGAAACUUAGGCGAAAUGAACUGAGUGGUGCAAAGAAGAUGCUUGGAUCUACUUGUUCUUGAGCAAAGAAGAAGCUUUUCUUCUCUCCUUUGGCAUCAUCCGUGAGCUUAGGUGUGGCUGAAGCUAUUGUAUUUUGGUUUGUGAUAUUGUAGCUGACUCUGCACUUCCUACUAAUCAUUGAGAGGCCUCAUAGUUUUUUUGUACAGUGGAAGUACCUUUUGAUUGUCUCUUAGGUAAAAACUAUAUUGUGGUGUUAGGUUGUAAUUUAGUGCUUCACGUGUAUCAUAGUUAGAUUUUAGUUUUAUUUUGCUAAUAUAUAAUCUGCUGAUGUGGAGCUAAGCUCCUUUGUUGAAUUGGAUGAUAGGUUUUAUUAUUGUAGAAAUUUUGGGAGGUCUAAUUUAGGAGGGAGACUGUUGAAAUUUUUACAAAAUAUUUAAGAUUUUUUUAUAACCUUAUAAUUAUAUAUAUAAAUUAGUUAUCAAUAUUUUAGCUUAACCUCAUAAUUACGGCUUAUGGAAUGUAAGUUUAUCUCAGAUUCUGUGCCGAUCAUACCCUUUGUACUGGGGUGUGACAGCUUCAUCUUUGGUUUUUAAAGGAUAAAUCCAGAAUAACGAUUGCAGUCAUCAAGAAAUAAAAUAUAAUAUUGAAAGUCAUGUGUGGAGGCUAGGGGAGAGGGACCCUAUAGAUCUGUAUGUACUAAUUCAAAAGGUUUAGUGGCAUGUGAAGGAGAUAGUUUGAAUAGUAGAGAAUGCGAUUUACCAAAUUUGCAUGACUCACAAAACAAAGGCUCUUCUUUACCAAUAAUUUUCAAAUUACAUUCAUUAAUAACUCUUUGCAAAAUCCUAUCAUUUAGAUGUUAAAGUCUACAAUGCUAAUAGUUUCUUGCUAGUUUUAGAAUUAAAACUAUUUUUCAAUGCUGUAUCAUCUACAUUUUCAGCAACAAAAGUUAGAUCUUCUCUGCUACCAUUCUUUUGAGCCUUUCUUUCGUGAAUGCAAAACAUGCCACUAGUUGGUUGCCCCUACAAUAUCACUAGCCCUGUUUCUUGAGACUUAACACAAACACCACUUAAUUAAACACCAUAUCAGCAUAAUUAUCAGCAGCUACUUUGUACACAUUGAUCAGAUUUUUAUUAGCUUCAUGUCACGGAUGAUAUUUCCGUGACCGUGUAAAGACCAAGAUAAUGAACGGUCCGCUGGUUAGCCUCGCACAAUAUGGGUAAAGGGGGCGACAUUAGCAUUAGGGGUGUUCUGCCUCAGUCUUCAGACUGUGUGCACAACUGGUCGGGGGCUAGUGCCGCCUCCCUGAUGAGCCCAUGGCAGGGCGAAACCAGUGUGAUCCGUACGUGGUAAGGCUUGUCCUGAGGAUUAUGGGGUCCUCCAGGACGCCGCACGGGCGCCGUGUGCUGCGCCAGACUCUCAGCCCGUGACAGAGUGGUAUCAGAGCAGGACGUACUUUACUGUCGUGUGUGCGUGGGGUCCCACGUUGGGACUGGUCGGCCUCGGCACUGCUCCAGAAAGGCCUCCGUGCAGGUGGGUCCAAAAGUGGGGACUCGGGCGGGAAGGUUGGCCGUUGUCGACUCCACUCCUGUUGGCUCGCGGGUGCGAGUGGGUCCGAAGAGUGCAGGACUCGGGUGGCCACUCAGCAAGUAAGCUGGUGUGUUUGUGGCAGUACUGUACGCACGAUCCUUGGGCGGAGUCGUUCUCCCCUAGCACGAGGGCGUGCUAGAUUGGGUGUGGGAGAAUGUCACGGAUGAUAUUUCCGUGACCGUGUAAAGACCAAGAUAAUGAACGGUUCGCUGGUUAGCCUCGCACAAUAUGGGUAAAGGGGGCGACAUUAGCAUUGGGGGUGUUCUGCCUCAGUCUUCAGACUGUGUGCACAACUAGUCGGGGGCUAGUGCCGCCUCCCUGAUGAGCCCAUGGCAGGGCGAAACCAGUGUGAUCCGUACGUGGUAAGGCUUGUCCUGAGGAUUAUGGGGUCCUCCAGGACGCCGCACGGGCGUCGUGUGCUGCGCCAGACUCUCAGCCCGUGACAUUCAGGAUUGUCAAUGCGAGCAAGGUCAUUAGUUACAUGACUAGUGGCCCCACUAUCAAGAUACCAAGCAUCAUCCACAAUUGUUUCAAGAGUUUCCUAAAAAGCAUUGUACUUAGAGGAGGAGGAGGAAGAAUUUUUGCCAUUCUAAUUCUGUUUUUUGCAUCCUCCUUUAGUAAAGUUUCUGUCAAACCGAUAGAAGCACUGCUCAACAUGUCUGAACUUGUCACACAAUUAGCAUUGAGGACGUUUUGAGUUGCUAAAAUUCCUGAAGCAAUUUGAAUAUUCACCACCACCUCGACUAUUCCUGCCUCAUCCUUUGUGACCACCAUGACCACGAGAACGCCAUCUGGGGCUAGAUGAAAAUUGAGCAUGAGCAAUAUUAGCAAACUGUUGAGAAGUUUAAAGAUGAGAAACUUGUGUUAGUUGUUCAACAUGACUUUGAAAUGCAAGCAAUUCAGCUUGGAAAUCAAUCUAACUCAAUUCAUCUGACUCCUUAGCAAGCUGAACAACUACUAGAUUGUACUCAGAAUCAAGACCAGCAAAAGUUUAGAGAAUCAAAUUAGGCAUGGGAAUGGGAUGACCAGCAGUAGUGAGUUAUUCUGAGAGAUGUUUCAUUUUAGAUAAAUAAUCAUUCAUAGAGGAUGUACCCUUUCUGGUACAUUGGAUUUCAGUAUAAAGCAUAAGAAUCCUAGCCUUUGUUUGUGCUCUAGCAAGGUAUUUUGCUGCUUUCCACAGAGUAGUAGAAGUAACAUGAGUCAUUUAAGAAGAAAUAUCCAAGGUUAUUGUGUUUAAAAGCCAUCCAAAAAGAAUCUGAUCAGCUGCAACUUAGUCUUCGAAUUUUGGGUUAAGUUUGGUGGCAUCAUUUUUUGUAAUAAAUUGAGCAGGGCAAGGUUUUGUCCCAUUAAGAAAGCCUUCAAGCUUAAAACCUUGAAUAAUGGGCAAAACAUGAGUCUGUAAGACAAUAAAGUUGGUUCUAUCCAACUUGAUAGCAACCUUAGUGGGUAAAGAUGUGGGAGGUCCACUAGUAGCCUUCCUAAGAUUGGUGGCAACAAGAAAUGAGCUGGUAGAGUUGUUGGAAGACGUGUGGACUAAUUGUUCUUAAGCCAUAGCUGUGCUUUGAUACCAAGAUAAAAUUACUUUGACAGUGAAAUGUAUAUUGUCAGCUACAAACCUCAAGGCAAAGAGAGCCUUAAAUAGAUAGGUUACAAACCUUAGACAGUAGGGUAAAUAAAACAUGUGUACAGUGAUAAAGAAUAAAGAAUAAAUAGUUACAGCACGCAUGUACAAUAUAUUAGUUAGGCCCAACUAAUUCAGACUCUUGGACUUAUUAUUUGUAUUGGGCUUUAGCUUGCAAUUCACUUUAGUAUGGGCUUCUUUUUCUUCGUCUUAAUAGACUGGAAUUAAACCCCCCAAAAAAAAGUCUCUGUAUAUUCAAUGAGUAAAAUCAAGAUGCAUAAUUUAUCUAAAAUUUGGUAAAAAAUAAGAGAAAACGUGUCUAGUUUCUAUCAAUUAUACUAAAAUUCUUUAAAGAAAGAAUAAAUAUAAAUGUUUUAGAAGUUAAAAGAAAUAACAUAUAUCAAAAGUCUUAGAGAUUCAAGGGGUCGAGCAUUGAGUUAUUGUCAGAUUCUUUUCUCUCCUUGCAUCUUCACUUUUGGAUAUUGCCACUCCUCUUUUUGCUUUGUCCCCCAUCUUCACAAGCUCUAUCUUCACCUCCUUUUCGUUGCCAUCACUGAUCGCCCAUUGUGCUUGCUGUCGUUGCAAUCUAAGGAAGUCGAGGGUAGGUUCCAUUAAGAUUGCUUAGUUCCUUAUUUUCUUCUUUUGUUGACCGUGUUGCUCAAUAUCUAUCAAGCUUGCUAGAUCUACAUAUUCUUGCUUUUCAUGGUCCUCGUUUGAUGUUUGCCAUCAUUGCACUCGCCGGAUUAGCUCUCUAUUGUUGUCACUAAAUUCACAGAAGGCAAGGAACUCCAAUCCUUUGAAACUAACAUAAAGCUUAGCCAAGGACAAAGAAGAAAAAGUUGCACUUCUAGUUGUAGGAUGUUGAUUCGAUGAAGAUAGGAUACUAAUUUUUGGUUUCCUUGGGUUUUCUGAUUCUGAAUGGAACUUUGAUUUGUUGGUUUUCAUAGCUGGAUUUUUUUACCCUCUACGGACAAUGUCUAGAUUUUGCAUAUUUUCUUUUCUUAUUUUUUUUCUCUUUAUUUGUUUAUUAUUUUUAAUUUAAUUUUAACUUUUCCUUUCUUUU